GCAGAUGCUGCGCUGAGACUGACCUUCAGAUCCUCGGCAGACCUUCAGCACGAUGGGCUCUUAAAUAAAACCCUUUUAGACCUGAACCUUGUGUGCGUUGGGUUUGGAUGUUUUCUGGGACUCUUUAGAAAACCCUGCCUUCCCUGCCGUGCUGUGGGAGACCCAGCAGAAGCCAGUGAGUAAAAGAUACCGCAUCACGACUAAAGCCCUUUCCUCGGCCGCCUGCGCUUCCUGUGGUCCAGGUUUAUUUAGUUGGCUUAUUAUCAGCAAGCCCCAUUUUCCUGGAGGACAGAUUUCUGGGUGAGCCAAGAUGGUGUGGGUGGGAACGGAAUGGGCUCUGGUGUGUCCGUUGGCAAAGCGGGUGACCCGCGUCUCUGGUUUAGAUGUUUAUGUGGCCCCUACAGCAUGGGGAGCCGUGUGUGAGCAGGUGUCCUGCCGUGAGCGAGGAUGAGUGUUAUGGAUGAGUUAUCUUCGGAGUUUGCACAAAGACCGGCCAGGCGUGCUGAGUGUGUAUGUGUGUGGCAGGGGAGAAGACCCAGGAUACAGAGAGACCCAUGUAAUUCCUAGGCCCCUUGCAAUGCAGGCCAGAUGGAGAGUAAAGGGGGAGGGACCUCAUAAAAUCGGGCCGAGCAAGUAUCUUGAGUAGGAUUGCUAACCUGGGAGCUGACGUGGGCCAUGCACUGGGCAAAGUAGCACAUUUGGUUCCCAUUUUACUUCUGACCUCGUUCCUGAAGAACCUGCUCUCAGGCCGGUGCUGUUGGUUAAUCAGGGACCCACAGCCAGGUUGGAAUCCGGUCCUGGGGGGAUUUUUUCCACGUCUUUUCUUUUUUCUUAUCAGCGAUACGGAGAUGUGCUUUGAGAUCGAGUCUGUUCCAAGAUCACAUUGUUUUCCUGUGGAAGAAUUCUGUUUCCCACAAUGUGCGAUUCUGAGAUUGUUAUUGAUCCAGCCGGCCUUGACUUCAGCCCCCGUUAUCUGUGGUUCUCAUCGCCCCUCCCUCUCGCCUCGAGGUCUCGGUAAUAAGCUCCCUGUGCUUUUCUCGUCUUAGUUUAGCCGGAGUCGCUGUCCAUGGAAAAUAAUUACUGGGAAUGUUCUGGAAUAGAAAGUGAACAACAGCGUUGCAUAAGUACCACAUAAAGCAGCUAAUGAAAUGGAAUAAUCUCCUUUUUCGCUUGACAGCGGCCCCAGGGGCACGUUGCCCUGCCCGGUGAAUCGCUCUCCCUCUGUCUGCUGUCCGCCCUACCCUGCUGCAGAGGCCAUGUCUCUUUGGCUAAGAUACUGACGUUCUUGGCUUCGGUACAAGGCAGGGGGAGGGCCGAAUGAGAUAAGGCACACCCGCGGAUGCUCGGCGACUGGGAUUUAUUUUAUUACACAUCUAGCAGGUGUUCAGAGAGCCACAGGGCACGAUGCCAGGGCCUGCUGGGCUAAAAGAGGUGAGUAGGUCCGGCAUGCUCCCGACUUUGGAGGCUGUUUUAAAGACUCAGAGUAGGAGGGAGAUAAGGUUUGUAUUUAGAGCCCCUUCAUGGCCAUCCUCUGCUUGACUGAGGCACCUUCAUCCCAGCAACUAAGAGCAUCGGCCACUAUUUAUGGAGCUCUGAACUUGUUCCUUUGCGUAGGGAGGCCAGAUUCCCUGGGCUUCAGUUCUGGUUCUAACAGUUAGCACUUGUGUAACCAGGCACAUCUCAACUUGUGACCCCCGCCCCCCACAUCUCAUCUGUCGAAGGGGAGGAAGAGCAGCACCUACCUCGUUUGGGUAUUGUGAACUGGAUGUGCUCAUUUUUUUGUUUUCUUUUUCUUUCUUUCCUUCCUUUCUCUCCAUAGGGCUCACCAGAGAGAGAAACAG